rnacentral:piRNA from 1 species
UGCGCAAAUGCAACACGCCUU